rnacentral:rRNA from 1 species
UACAGAGGGUGCGAGCGUUAAUCGGAAUUACUGGGCGUAAAGCGCGCGUAGGCGGUUUUGCAAGUCGGGUGUGAAAUCCCCAGGCUUAACCUGGGAACUGCGUUUGAAACUGGAAGGCUAGAGUGUGGCAGAGGGGGGGUGGAAUUCCCGGUGUAGUGGUGAAAUGCGUAGAUAUCGGGAGGAACACCAGUGGCGAAGGCGACUACCUGGCCUGUUCUUGACGCUGAGGCGCGAAAGCUAGGGGAGCAAACGGG